GACGGACGCUGGCGGCGUGCUUAACACAUGCAAGUCGAACGGAAAGGCCCCCUUGUGGGGUACUCGAGUGGCGAACGGGUGAGUAACACGUGAGUAACCUACCCUUGACUUUGGGAUAACUUCAGGAAACUGGGGCUAAUACCGGAUAGGAGCUCCUGCUGCAUGGUGGGGGUUGGUAAGUUUCGGCGGUUGGGGAUGGACUCGCGGCUUAUCAGCUUGUUGGUGGGGUAGUGGCUCACCAAGGCUUUGACGGGUAGCCGGCCUGAGAGGGUGACCGGCCACAUUGGGACUGAGAUACGGCCCAGACGCCUACGGGAGGCAGCAGUGGGGAAUAUUGCACAAUGGGCGGAAGCCUGAUGCAGCAACGCCGCGUGCGGGAUGACGGCCUUCGGGUUGUAAACCGCUUUCGCCUGUGACGAAGCGUGAGUGACGGUAGUGGGUAAAGAAGCACCGGCUAACUACGUG
rnacentral:rRNA from 1 species